GGGCGAAUGGUUUAGUGGUAUAAUACUCCCUUAGCAUGUGUUAGGACACUAAUUCAACGCUUGGGAGUGGUCCGGGGUUCGAUUCCCCGUUUGUCCA
rfam:Claviceps purpurea 20.1, WGS project CAGA01000000 data, contig: scaffold00064